rnacentral:rRNA from 1 species
CUGGGAGGACCAUCUCCUAAGGCUAAAUACUCUCUAGUGACCGAUAGUGAACCAGUACCGUGAGGGAAAGGUGAAAAGCACCCCGGAAGGGGAGUGAAAUAGAACCUGAAACCGUGUGCUUACAAGUAGUCAGAGCCCGUUAAUGGGUGAUGGCGUGCCUUUUGUAGAAUGAACCGGCGAGUUACGAUUUGAUGCAAGGUUAAGCAGUAAAUGUGGAGCCGUAGCGAAAGCGAGUCUGAAUAGGGCGUUUAGUAUUUGGUCGUAGACCCGAAACCAGGUGAUCUACCCUUGGUCAGGUUGAAGUUCAGGUAACACUGAAUGGAGGACCGAACCGACUUACGUUGAAAAGUGAGCGGAUGAACUGAGGGUAGCGGAGAAAUUCCAAUCGAACCUGGAGAUAGCUGGUUCUCUCCGAAAUAGCUUUAGGGCUAGCCUCAAGUGAUGAUUAUUGGAGGUAGAGCACUGUUUGGACGAGGGGCCCCUCUCGGGUUACCGAAUUCAGACAAACUCCGAAUGCCAAUUAAUUUAACUUGGGAGUCAGAACAUGGGUGAUAAGGUCCGUGUUCGAAAGGGAAACAGCCCAGACCACCAGCUAAGGUCCCAAAAUAUAUGUUAAGUGGAAAAGGAUGUGGCGUUGCCCAGACAACUAGGAUGUUGGCUUAGAAGCAGCCAUCAUUUAAAGAGUGCGUAAUAGCUCACUAGUCGAGUGACACUGCGCCGAAAAUGUACCGGGGCUAAACAUAUUACCGAAGCUGUGGAUUGUCCUUUGGACAAUGGUAGGAGAGCGUUCUAAGGGCGUUGAAGCAUGAUCGUAAGGACAUGUGGAGCGCUUAGAAGUGAGAAUGCCGGUGUGAGUAGCGAAAGACGGGUGAGAAUCCCGUCCACCGAUUGACUAAGGUUUCCAGAGGAAGGCUCGUCCGCUCUGGGUUAGUCGGGUCCUAAGCUGAGGCCGACAGGCGUAGGCGAUGGAUAACAGGUUGAUAUUCCUGUACCACCUAUAAUCGUUUUAAUCGAUGGGGGGACGCAGUAGGAUAGGCGAAGCGUGCGAUUGGAUUGCACGUCUAAGCAGUAAGGCUGAGUAUUAGGCAAAUCCGGUACUCGUUAAGGCUGAGCUGUGAUGGGGAGAAGACAUUGAGUCUUCGAGUCGUUGAUUUCACACUGCCGAGAAAAGCCUCUAGAUAGAAAAUAGGUGCCCGUACCGCAAACCGACACAGGUAGUCAAGAUGAGAAUUCUAAGGUGAGCGAGCGAACUCUCGUUAAGGAACUCGGCAAAAUGACCCCGUAACUUCGGGAGAAGGGGUGCUCUUUAGGGUUAACGCCCAGAAGAGCCGCAGUGAAUAGGCCCAAGCGACUGUUUAUCAAAAACACAGGUCUCUGCUAAACCGUAAGGUGAUGUAUAGGGGCUGACGCCUGCCCGGUGCUGGAAGGUUAAGAGGAGUGGUUAGCUUCUGCGAAGCUACGAAUCGAAGCCCCAGUAAACGGCGGCCGUAACUAUAACGGUCCUAAGGUAGCGAAAUUCCUUGUCGGGUAAGUUCCGACCCGCACGAAAGGCGUAACGAUUUGGGCACUGUCUCAACGAGAGACUCGGUGAAAUCAUAGUACCUGUGAAGAUGCAGGUUACCCGCGACAGGACGGAAAGACCCCGUGGAGCUUUACUGUAGCCUGAUAUUGAAAUUCGGCACAGCUUGUACAGGAUAGGUAGGAGCCUUUGAAACGUGAGCGCUAGCUUACGUGGAGGCGCUGGUGGGAUACUACCCUAGCUGUGUUGGCUUUCUAACCCGCACCACUUAUCGUGGUGGGAGACAGUGUCAGGCGGGCAGUUUGACUGGGGCGGUCGCCUCCUAAAAGGUAACGGAGGCGCUCAAAGGUUCCCUCAGAAUGGUUGGAAAUCAUUCAUAGAGUGUAAAGGCAUAAGGGAGCUUGACUGCGAGACCUACAAGUCGAGCAGGGUCGAAAGACGGACUUAGUGAUCCGGUGGUUCCGCAUGGAAGGGCCAUCGCUCAACGGAUAAAAGCUACCCCGGGGAUAACAGGCUUAUCUCCCCCAAGAGUUCACAUCGACGGGGAGGUUUGGCACCUCGAUGUCGGCUCAUCGCAUCCUGGGGCUGUAGUCGGUCCCAAGGGUUGGGCUGUUCGCCCAUUAAAGCGGUACGCGAGCUGGGUUCAGAACGUCGUGAGACAGUUCGGUCCCUAUCCGUCGUG